UAAGAGUAUGUAAGUAGGUAUGUCUGUAGAUUAAAGUGUGGCCUGUCAGAUGAUUGAUUAUUAUGGAAAUAUAUUUCCAUCGCCUUGCGUAAUAUCAAGAAAUAUGGCAUUCCUACACAAGUUAUAAUUUGAUUUUUACCAAAAUGGUAUUAUACACAUACUAAAUUUGUACUUUUCGUGUGAUGGAUAAGUCUAGAAGCAUACUUGUACCAUCAUGGCUAAUCUCAGCAAAUACAGAUUACAUACAAUGGUUAUAAUUUAAAUUGUGACGUGUAUGAAUUUGUCUUGCAAGAUUAUUGAUGUGAAAUCGUGUGUUGAAACACAUUUUGUUAUAUUUCGGGACGGUCAUAUUUUUUCCUUGCCAAAUAAACACACGCACUGUAUAGUCGUAGUUUCACUGGCAGAAACGUUGGCACGCCGGGCGAAAUGCGAAGCCGUAUUUCGUCUGCCGUUACAUUCUGAGUUCAAAUUCCGCCGAGGUCGACUUUGCCUUUCAUCCUUUCGGUGUCGAUAAAUUAAGUACCAGUUACGCACUGGGGUCGAUGGAAUCAACUUAAUCGCUUUGUCUGUCCUUGUUUGUCCCCUCUGUGUUUAGCCCCUUGUGGGUAGUAAAGAAAUAUAUAUUAUUAUUCUCAUUUUAUCUCAUGUCCAUUGUCUGGAAAUCUUUCGUCUGACACCUGUGACCUCUUCAGCGACCCUUCUAUCCCACGUGCAUCCCCCUCUUCUGUUUAGUCAUCAAAAAGGUAUUAUACAUACACUAAAGUGUUACCCAUCACAUGAUGGCUAAUUUUGAAAAUAUAGUUGUGCCAUCAUAGCUAAUAUCAGAAAAUAUAGAUUACGUGCGAUAAUUAUAAUUUUAAUUUUUACGUGUAUGAAUUCGUUUCGCAAGAUUCCUGGUGUAAAAUCGUGAGUUGAAACAGACUUUGUUAUAUUUCAGGACGGUCAUAUUUUUUCCUUGCCAAAUAAACACACGUAAUGUAUAGUCGUACUUCCACUUACUUAUUAUUGCCCUAGGCGGCGAGCUGGCACAAUGGUUAGCACGCCGGGCGAAAAGUUUAGCGGUAUUUCGUCUGUCUUUACGGUCUGAGUUCAAAUUCCGCCGAGGUCGACUUUGCCUUUCAUCCUUUCGGGGUCGAUUAAAUAAGUACCAGUUACUCACUGGGGUCGAUAUAAUCGACUUAAUCCGUUUGGCUGUCCUUGUUUGUCCUCUCUGUGUUUAGCCCCUUGUGUGGUAGUAAAGAAAUAGGUAUUUCGUCUUUCUUUACGGUCUAAGUUCAAAUUCCACCGAGGUCGACUUUGCCCUUCGUUCUUUCGAGGUCGAUAAAUUAAGUACCAGUUGCGUACCGAGGUCGAUAAAUCAAGUACCAGUUGCGUACCGGGGUCGAUCUAAUCGACUGGCCCCCUCCCCAAAAAUAUCGGGCCUUGUACCUAGAGUAGAAAAGAAUAACUAUAAUUUAAAUAUUUAUCAAGUGAAAACACGUGGCUUAGUGGUUAGGGUAUACGGCAUCAUGAUCGUAAGGUUGUGAGUUCAAUUCCCGGCGGCGCGUUGUGUCCAUGUGCAAGACACUUUAUUUCACGUUGCUCCAGUCCACUCAGCUGGCAAAAACGAGUUAUACCUGUAUUUCAAAGGGCCGGCUUUGUCACAUUUCUGUGUCACACUGAGUCUCCUCAAGAAUUAUAUUAAGGGUACGCGUGUCCGUGAAGUACUCAGCCACUUGUACGUUAAUUUCACAAACAAGAUGUUGAUCGGAUCAACUGGAACCCUAUAUAUAUAUAUAUAUAUAUAUAUAGAGAGAGAGAGAGAGAGAGAGAGAGAGAGAGACAGACAGACAGACAGACAGACAGAGAGAGAGACAGACAGACAGACAGACAGACAGAGGUUAUGAGCGGUAAAGGUGUCAUUGAGACCCAAAGGUAUCAGGUAAUGCUGAAUAAGUGCUAUAGAUAGACCAUAGUUAAGUUCCAGAUUCGGUAAUAUUGCGAAUAAAGGGUUCAUCGUUGGUUCUACGUCAGCGUGUGUAUAUAAAAUUUUUUUUUCGUAAUGAGAUAAAAAAAAACAAGGCUGUAUAGAUUUUAGAACAUUUAUGGAUAUCUAUAAAUAUUCUAAAAUCUACACAACCUUGGUUUUUUUUUAUUUCAUUACGAAAAAAAAUUAUAUGUAUGAUAUAUAUAUAUAUAUAUAUACCGGAGUAAACACAUAAAUGUGUGAAACAAGGUGGAAAAAAGAGUACUCAAAUACCAGAGGUAGAGUAAUAUGCUUUAUUUAAAAGCAACAGAAAUUUAACAAAAGCUGUUACUCGGAGUUUCACGUUCUCUUUCGUCGGACAGUUUUGUUAAAAAAAAAACUGUCCGACGAACGGGAACGUGAAACUUAUAUAUAUAUAUAUAUAUAUAAUUUCUUGAUGUUUAUACAAAAUGAUAAAGUGAAUAUUAAUUUUUCAAAAGAAAAUAAAAAUGUUUAAAAAACUAAAGUAAGUACUGGGGCCGAUUCGUUCGAAUUCCCAAAAAUCCCUUCCAGAAGGUUCCCCUAAAUGGUCGCAGACUGAAACAAGGAAAAGAUAAACGGUAAAGAAUAAAAGAUUAUCUUGAAGUAAAAUUAAAACAUUGGCCGUGUGGUAAGAAGCUUGCUUCCCAAUCACAUCGUUCCGGGUUCAGUCCCACGUGUGGCAUCUUGGGCAAGUGUCUUCUACUAUAGCCUCGGACUGACCAAAGCUUUGACAAUAGAUUUGGUAGACGGAAACUGAAAGAAGCCCGUUGUUAUUAUAUAUAUAUAUAUAUAUAAAAAUAUAUACGUGUGUAUGUGUGUAUGUGUGUGUGUGUGUGUGUGUGUAUGAUUGGUCUGUGUUUGUGCGCUCCCACCAUCGCUUGACAACCGGUGCUGGUGUGUUUACGUCCCCGUAACAUUAGCGGUUCGGCGGAAGAGACUGAUAGAAUAAGAAGCACUAAGGCUUAAAAAAAAAUAAGUCCUGGGAGCGAUUUACUCAACUAAAACCCUUCAAGGCGGUGCUCCAUCAUGGCCGCACUCAAACGACUGAAACAAGUAAAAGAACAAAAAGAAACAAAAUUACUCUCCGCGUUGAGUUUAUAUUUGUUAUAGACUCGCAGUCGUAGGAUCGCGGUUUCGAUUCCCAGACCGGUCGUUGUGAGUGUUUAUUGAGCGAAAAUACUUAAAACUCCACGUUGCUCUGACAGGGGGUGGUGGUGACCCCUGCUGUACUCUUUCACCACAACUUUUCCUCACUCUUCCUUCCUGUUUCUGCUGUACCUCUAUUUCAAAGGGGCCAGCCUUGUUACCUUCUUGUGCGGUAUCCAUAUUGGUUGCUUAUAGUCCCUAAAUGUAUCACAAACGUUGACUCCACCAAACACAGCUUCAUAAAAUGGUCGAUACCCUGUACGUAAAGGUAAAGUAAAGUUACCUUCUCGGGCCAUGCCAGGCUCAUAAGGGCCGGUUUCCCGGUUUCCCGGUUUCACGGCGUGUAAAUUCCCCACCUGGACAGGACGCCGGUCUGUUGCAAGAUUACACAUUUUUGGCGGCUGAGUGGACUGGAGCAGCGUGAAACGAAGUGUUUUGCUCAAGAACACAACACGUCAUGGGGUCCAGGAAUUGAAACCACUGUCUUACAAUCAUGAGUCCUACACCCUAACCACUAAGCCACGCGCCUCCCUGUACAGUCUAUAAUCACCACGCUACGCCACCGAUCAACGUCAAUUGUGAUUAUAGAUACCCAUAGGUGAAUGAUAGUCCCAACUGCAAGGAUUGUACUUGAACCUACAGUCUGUCAGUCUUACCUUUGUGCCGCUUUUUCCUAGGGUUUUUUUGUUUUUUUACGCCAAGUUCCUCCGAAGAAUUUCUGGAGUAACGUUACUCAAGGGAAAGUGUAGCUUGGAUAUCAGGGAGUCUCUCGCAGUUGUACCAUUGAGAGGUCACAACUCCAACACAACAGAUAUUUAAUUAGGAUGUCAAAAGGAAUUCUUGAAGCCGAUCCACUUAUAGGUUGAUCAAGAACGAGAUGUUUAUAAAGCUGUUUGUUAAAUUAGAUAUUUUAUUUGAUUCAGUAAGUUGUGGAUUUAGAAGAUUAGUUUGUUUAAUAUCGAAAUCAGUAUGCAGUUUUAGAGUUGGGCAGUUAUUUAAUUUAAUUUAAUUUAAUCUAAUUUAAUUUAAUUUUUAUUGGUUCAAAAAGCAAAAGCAAGGCCAUGUAGGGGGACAUGGAGUUAUGUACAGGGAGGGUGUUCAUGCAAAGAGUUCAGGCCAUUUCCGGUCAAGAGAGACUUUGAACCGAGGGGUCGUCGGCAUCUUCACUAUCUCGUCCGGCAGCUUAUUCCACGGAUCCGCAACCCGGACGGAGAAAGCCUCUCUCCUUCGAUUGAGAUGAAAUCGUCGUAGAUAGAGCUUUUCGGAAUGACCCCGCAGCCGACGUUCUGGAGCAGGAGUGAAGAACAGCUCUUUCGAGAGGUUACACUUUCCGCUUAUGAUGUUGUGAGCAAGAAUGAGAUCACCACGGUGUCGUCGUUUUUCUUAGGUACACAGAAGGGGGUAUCAAGGCGGCGAGCUGGCAGAAACGUUAGCACGCCGGGCGAAAUGCGUAGCCGUACUUCAUCUGCCGUUACGUUCUGAGUUCAAAUUCCGCCGAGGUUGACUUUGACUUUCAUCUUUUCGGGGGGUCGAUAAAUUAAGUACCAGUUGCGCACUGGGCUCGAUAUAAUCGACUUAAACCGUUUGUCUGUCCUUGUUUGUCCCCUCUGUGUUUAGCCUCUUGUGGGUUGUAAAGAAAUAGAAGUAGGUAUUUCGUCUGCCGUUACGUUCUGAGUUCAAAUUCCACCGAGGUCGACUUUGCCUUUCUACUUUUCGGGGGUCAAUAAAUUAAGUACCAGUUGCGUACUGGGGUCGAUGUAAUCGACUUAACCCCUCUGUCUGUCUUUGUUUGUCCUCUCUGUGUUUAGCCCCUUGUGGGUAGUAAAGAAAUAGAAAUAGGUAUUUCGUCUGCCGUUACGCUCUGAGUUCAAAUUCCACCGAGAUCGACUUUGCCAUUCAUUCUUUCGGGGGUCGAUAAAUUAAGUACCAGUUGCGCACUGAGGUCGAUAUAAUCGACUUAACCCCUUUGUCCUUGUUUGUUCCCUCUAUUUUUAGUCCCUUGUGGGCAAUAAAGAAAUAAGAAGGGGGUAUUAAUGUUAAACAUUUUCAUGGGGGUAUUAAUAUAAUUUGUUUUAUCAAUCAACUGUUUGAUUUUUAUUCGUAGAUUUUUUUAGGUUGGUUGUAGGAAUCGAUGAGUCAGGAUUAGUAUAAUUUUGGUUGGUUAUUUAUUAACAAAAUAAUAAGUCAUUGAGUUUUUGUAUCUGGUUUGCAAGAUGCCUUAUGUGAAUUCGUGUGUUGAAACAAAUUUUGUAGUGUCUCGGGAGGGUCAUUGCCUUAAUAUAACACACGCACCGGUUCGAUUUCUACUCGUUUAUUUAUUUAUUCCAGAAAGCUUUUUUGUCACUGCUUUUGCAACUGUAUCAAUUCAUUUUGACUCUGACCGUCCGUUAUUAAAGCUGCGCUCCUUUUUUAUUCUUUUUGUUUGUUUGUUUGUUGUAUGUUGUUUGUUUUAAAAAAGGGAAUAAAUCGAUAAAUAAAUAAAUGAAUGAAUAAAUAAAUAAAUGAGUGGAAAUUGAACCGGUGCGUGUGUUGUUUUGAGGCAUUAUGACCCUCCCAGACACAACAAAAAUCAUUGAGUGUUAGGAUGUUAACGGUGUUAAUAAAUUUCAGUCGAACAUACAUGGAAAUAAAACAGGAAGGUCUAAUGCCGGUUGCUUCUGUGCUUCUGACAGGACCCCGUAUAGAAGGUGCCUGUGGACUCCACCUCAACGACCCACCCAAGAAUAGUGGACGGAGAAAGUGGAUGGAUGGAUGGUUGGAUGGAAGGAUAAAAUUUGUUUUUCCUUUAACAGCAACCCUCAUACUCCCUUAUUUCGUCUCUUCAAGCUCUCCUCCCGUGCCAAGCUCCAUUGGACAAUGAUCACCAGCAAUGUCCUUCCAUCUAUCAACUUUUAUCUUCUUAUCUUUUGGUUUUCACAUGUUGGGGCCUUGAAGGACUUAGCUUAGUCGAACGAAUCAAGCCCAUGCCGAAACGCUAGGUUACAGAGACGAAAACAAACAAACACCGGUUGUCAGUAGGUAGAGAGGGACAAACGCAGCACAAGCACGAAUACGUCCCCCACGACACACACACACACACACACAUACACAUACGAAGAGCUUCCACACAGUUUCCGUCCUCCAAAUUCCUUCACAAAGCAUUGAUCGGCCUGGGACUAUAGUAAAGGACACUCGCCCUAGGUAUCGUGCAGAUUGAUGCAUGCAUGCAUAUGUGGGUGUAUGUAAGCAUGUUUGUAUGUGUGUCAUAUGUAUGUGUUUGUAGAUAUGUGUGAAUAUGGAUCUGAGAAUGAGUAUAUAUGCAUAUAUAUAUAUACAUGUAUAUGUAUAUAUAUAUAUAUAUAUAUAUAUAUAUGUAUAUAUAUAUAUAUAUAUGUAUGUAUAUAUGUAUGUGUGUGUAUAUGUAUAUGUCUAUAUAUAUCCGUGACUGACCAGGUUAUCAGAUGUUGCUACACAUCGCUGGUCACAAUGCGCUUCGCAUUGCUUUAGCCUUCAAAUGACGCCACCCCGCUGGCUAAGCGAGCAGGGCCAAUAUGUAUAUAUAUAUAUAUGUAUAUAUUUAUAUAUAUAUAUACAUACAUAUAUAUACAUAUAUAUAUAUAUAUAUAUAUAUAUAUAUAUAUAUAUAUAUAUAUAUAUAUAUAUAUAUAUAUGUAUGUAUGAGUGUGUAUGUAGAUAUGGAUGUACGUAUAUGCAUGUAUGUUUGUACGUGUGCGUGCGCAAGAAAUGUUGACGUCAUAAAACCUGUGUUUGGAUUGAAACACGUAUCUCACUCACUCAGUUUCUAUGUCACAUGACAAGCUUGCACUUCAAUGAUUGAGCAAAUCAUGUUGACGACGACGACGACGAUGAGGAGGAGGAGGGGGGAGGCUGACGUGGACAGCAUCAGCUUCUGUGAUGGCGAUGGUGAUGAUGAUGAUGAUGAUGACAACGAAGAUCGUGAGAUGAUAAUCAUCAUGGUGGUGUUCAUGAUGAUGACGACUACAACGACGUCGAUGAUGGUGAUGAUGAUGAUGAUGAUGAUGAUGAUGAUGAUGAUGACGACGACGAUGAUGAUGACGAUGAUGAUGAUGAUGAUGAUGAUGAUGACGACGAUGAUGAUGACGAUGAUGAUGUCUACGACGACGACGACGUUGACGGUGAAGAGAAGGGAGGUGACGACGGUGAUGAUAAUAAGGUGGGGGAGUUGGUUCGCGGCGGCGGCGACUAUGAUGACACUUUCCCGAGCUAAUCAGAAUCUGAUCUGGCCUAGUGUGAUAUCAGAUGGAGAGGAAAGAGGAGCAGCAGGAGGUGGAGGGAGCGGGGGUGGUCAGAAGAGGAAGAGGGGGAAGAGGAGGAAGAUAUAGGUGGGGGUGGAGAGGCAUUGAGAUUGAAGAUAGUGGAAAGUGCGUGAGAGAGUCGGUAUGGGAGGUAGUGGGUGUUCCACCACCACCGACCACCCGCCACCCUUAAUAUACCCAUCGGACUUUUAACACUUCAAACGGUUGCGCUACUCUCUCUCUCUAAACUCAUUUCUAUGAACCCGCCACUGAAAACACACUAAAAACACACGCACAGACACACACACUUACACACACACACAUAUAUACACAUACACACAAUCACACACACAUAUAUUCAUGCCUACAUACAUACAUACAUACAUACAUACAUACAUACAUACAUACAUACAUACAUACAUACAUACAUACAUACAUACAUACAUACAUACAUACAUACAUAUAUAUAUACAUAUAUACAUACAUACAUGCAUACAUACAUACAUACAUACAUACAUGCAUACAUACAUACAUACAUACAUACAUACAUACAUACAUACAUACAUACAUACAUACAUACAUACAUACAUACAUACAUACACACAUACAUACCUACAUACAUAGAUAUACGUGCAAGCAUUCAUUCAUACAGGCGUAGUACAUACAUAUAUCCAAACAAAUAUGCAAGCAUAUACAUACAUGCAUACACACACAUAAACACAUACAUACACACAUACAUGCAUGCAUACAUGUAUGUAUGAAUAUGUAUGUGUGUGUGUUUGUGUGCGUACGUAUGUAUACAUACAUACAUGCAUACAUUCAUACAUACAUAAAUACAUACAUGCAUGCAUACAUACAUACAUACAUACAUACAUACAUACAUACAUACAUACAUACAUACAUACAUACAUACAUACAUACAUACAUAUUUGAUCUCUUUGAAAAUCUAAGAGGAAGGGGAGAAUUAUGGACAACUGCUUCAAAACCUCCAGUUUCUGUAUCCAGAUUAUAAAUUCUCGUUUAUACCAAUUAUAAUUGGUCCGCUUGGUUUUCUGGGUAAAUAAAUGCCUAAGUAAAUCUCUGGAUAAAUUAGGGUUUUCGGAAAAAAAUUUCAACAGACUAACUCGCACAUUGCAAAUAGUCUGUAAGUGGAACAAUAAAAAUAUGCAACACUUUCGUUAAGUUUAAAAUGUGAAUUUGCUUUUGGUAUCUACAUUAAAACGAUGGAGCUUUGUAUCGUAUUUUAGAAACCAGCUCCUUCCUGCGAGGAAGAAUUUAAAUAAUUGAAAACAGAAAAGAACAUACAUACAUACAUACAUACAUACUUUAGAAAAUUACUAGUUGUGAAUCUCACAACGAGAGAUAUUCAGCAACAGUACUUUGGAGUAAAGAUUGCCAACAUAACAUGGCAGUCCUGGUUUAGGACGAAUGUUGCUGUAAUUUAGCCCGAGGACACAUCGUCUCCAGCUGGCUAUACGACAUGAUCAGUGUCCUUAUAUUUUCUAAAAAAAAUGUAAGGAUACAGAUCAUGCCUUAUAACCAGCUGGAGACGAUGUCUCCUGGGGCUAAAUUACAGCAACAUUCGUCCUAAACCAGGACUGCCAUAUUAUGUUGGCAAACAAUCUUUACACCAUACAUACAUACAUACUUACAUGUGUGUGUGUGUAUAUAUAUAUAUAUAUAUAUAUAUUAUUUGUGUUUAUGUGUGUGUUUGUAUGUGUUAACGAACGUGUUUUUACGCUUGAAUGCGUCUUUGUGCUUCUCGUUCCACGACUUGACAACUGGUGUUGGUUAGUUUACGUUCCCGUAGCUUAAUGGUAGCAGACUUGACGUAAGAACUGUGAGUCAAUUUGCGCGGCGAAACCCUUCAAGGCGGUGCCAAAGCAUGGCCGGUGCCCAAUGGCUGAAGAAAAAAUAACACAAAAACACAACUAUGUGUGUACAUGCGUGUGUGUGUGUGUGUGUGUGUAUUAGAUAGAUAGCUAGACAGAGAGAGAAUAAAUAAAAGAAAGGGAGGGGGAUAAAAGAAAGAAAAGAAGAAACAGAGUGUGUGUGUGUGUGUAUGUGUGUAUGUGUGUGUGAAAUUGUGUAUAACGUGUGCGAGUGAAGUGUUAAUAUCAUGACACUACGUCCAACUGUUUUAGUUUGCCUAGCUAUACACACAUACACACACACGCACACACACAGACGCGCACACAUACACUCACACGCAGGCACGCACAAACGUACAAACACACGAACAUUCACGUGACAUCACUCGAUAUAAUACCUAAACAUCAAACCAAAAUGUCGGCGGGAAAUGAUAUCCAUGCGGUAACCUAACUUGAGAAUAAGUCAACGCUGUUCGAAACGUCAGUUUAAAAAACCUUACACUUGAUGGGUUAACUUACCCUUGGCGUUCAAACCGGGGGGGGGAUGGGGUUCCUGGUUCGACUCCAGAACAGAUCCCUUUGUAUCAAGAGGACUGUAUCAUCGACUUCACUUCUCUUAUCUUUUACUUGUUGCGGUCAUUAGACUGCGGCCUGGCUGGAGUACCGCCUUGAGAAAUUUUUAACCUCAGUACUUUUUUCUUUAUUAAACCUGUUACUUAUUAUAUCGGCGUCUUUUACCAAAGCGCUAGGUUCCGUGGACAUAAACACACCAACACCGGGUCGAUGUAAUCGAUCUAUCCCCUCCUCCCAAAAUUAUUGGCCUCGUGCCAAAAUUAGAAGGAAUUAUUAUUAUUGGGUGAGAGAGCAAUGCAUGCCAUCAAAGUGACACUGGGGUAAAAUAUACGAAGCCCGGUAUAUCCAUCAUGACUACUCGUCUGAUAAGGGUACAUCAGGCACAUGCAUCACAACCAUAUGUGCUCGAAAUGGUAAUCUCAUAUCAAGAUAAACAGCACAUGACCUUGCACGUGGGGCCCAGUUAGGAUUUUCUUCAGUUUGAGUAGCCCAUCACGCUCAAAAGAUCCUUGAAUAAGGGUUUUUUGGAGAUGUUGAACGAAACACCCAUGUUUCCAAAGGAGAAUUAUUCAAACUCCAAAGAAUCCCUCUCAACACAUGGCUAUGAUGCUCCCCCACUACUUCUGCUCGUGAUCAGAGAUGCACAUAUCGUCAACCACUAAGGGACAUGCUCAACUGGUCAUGGUCAAACAACUGGCAAGCAAAUCUGUGGUAUUGAGCAGAAUAUUUGCUGCAGCCUAUCUUUUAUACCAAGACAAAACAAUGUACAUGAUAACACUUCCAAUCAGUUAAGAUCAGAAGUCAUGAGAGCCACUGCCUGGUAUUACACUAUUAUGAUUAUUAUUGAUUAUUAUUAUUAUUAUUAUAAGCAGUGAGCUAACAGAACCAUUAGCAUGUAGGGCAAAAUUCUUAGCAGAGUUCAAAUUCUGCCAAGGUUAGCAUAAUUUCAGGGUCAAUGAAAUACGUACCAUUUGAAUACUGGGAUCAAUAUAAUUUAUCCCCCACCAAAUUUCAGGCCUUGUGCCUAUGGUAUAAAGGAUUAACCUAAUUAUUAUUAUUAUUAUUAUUAUUAUUAUUAUUAUUAUUAUUAUUAUUAUUAUUAUUAUUAUUAUUAUUAUUAUUAUUAUUAUUAUUAUUAUUAUUAUUACAACUACCAAACUCAGCUUGAUGCUGGAGGCCGCGUUACCAGCUGUUCACUUCCCGUGAACUAGAGCAGACAUUUCUUUUCAAGUUCCCAGAACAUUACGGAGACCAUAAACACAGCCUAGAAACGCUGUUUUCUGGACGUACUCUAACUUCAUUUUGAUGCCAAUCUUUUACAACCAAUCUUUCAAUUUCUUUGCUCACUGUAACCUGGGGCAACACACAAUUAUUGGCACAAUACACGCCUUUUGCCAUCAUCCAUAACUGUUUGAUUUCUCUCUUCGGAGCAUCAAAUCUCGUCAGAUUUUCUCCUUCUUUUUCCAACGACUCCGCUGUCUCCAGGGCAAACGACGUCUAAAGUCAAGCAUGAUUUUUUCUCCCUUGUCAGCCAGUAUAACAUCGGACUUCCGGCGUUCGAUUCUCUGAUCACAUUGGAUCGCGAAAUCCCAAAAAGUCUGUCAUUUUCUAUCACACAUUCUAUUUGGGGUACCGCCUUGGAGAAUCUUUAGCCGAACUAACGGACCUCAGUACUAUUUUUUUUUUAUUAAACCUGUUACUUAUUGCUACGUAUCGGCGUCUUUUACCAAAGCGCUAGAUUCCGGGGACGUAAAUACACCAACACCGGUUGUCAAGCGGUGGUUGAGGGGGGGGACAAACACAGAUACAAACACACACACAUAGAUACAUAUAUAUAUAUAUUGUGGAAAUUUACAGAAAAACAAAAGACGAAGACAGGUGUAUAAACAAAAAGCUGGUGUAUUAGUUUGACACUCGAGAAGGAGAGAAAGUCUUUUACGUUUCGAACCUACGCUCUUCAACAGAAAGGAACACAAGGAAAUAAACAGAGAGAGAAUUAAAAAAAACUUGUGGAGUUAGCGGUCUAUAUAUAUCUAUUGAUAAAAAUGGUAAGACAACAAAAGAAUGAAAGAGACCUCGAUAUUAUUGUAAAUAGAGGAAUUUAUCUGUAAAUGUAAUAUGUGACAAUUAUUCGGUAAGCCAUGAUAAAACUUAUAUAUAUACAAAUAUAUAUAUAUAGAAUAGUGAUACAACAAUAUUUACUGGAAAUAGCAGUCGAUAAUAUACGACGCUAUAGUAAAGCUUCACUGUGUAUAUAUAUAUAUAUAUAUAUAUAUAUAUAUAUAUAUAUAUAUAUAUAUAUAUUCAUACCAUAUUCUCGCUUUUUUUUCAAUCUAUACUUGAUACAUUGUUCCCAAUGAACCAUUCUGCCGACAUUGUCAUGCCUUCUCUUGUAUUCCUUGAGGGAAUAUGUCUGUUUUAUAUUAUUUCAUGAUUUAUGAAAUGGAAGGCUUUCCCUCCUUGAAAGGGAAUUUGGUUCCUUAUCUUAGAAAACCUACCGAAGACUAUCCAAGACUAAAGAAUGUUGUCUGAGCCAACUCUAGUAAUACUUGCAGUAGUGGCUGUCUGGUAAAAAGCUUGCUUUCCAACCACAUAGUUCCGCGUUCAGUCCCACUGCGUGGCACAUUGAGCAAGUAUCUUCUACUACAGCCUCGGGCCGACUGUAUA
rnacentral:lncRNA from 1 species